rnacentral:ncRNA from 1 species
GUUUAAUUGUUUAACUUUGGCAAAAGAAAGUUUGUGUUUCAUUAACUGCAUAAAGUUAUUUUAUUUGUUGACAUGAUUUAAUAUUGUUUAUUCUGUUUAGCAGUUAAUUUUUUGUUUAAAGGAAAGUUUUAAAAGAAUGGAACACUGGAAGGGGAUAGGGCACAGUGCCAGCAUCUGCGGUUAGUCUGUUUUCUUUGCUUUUUUGUAGACUGUGUGUGUUUAUUUAUCGUUAAAAAUAGGUUAAAUUUUUUUAUUCAAGUUUUAAAUAUUCAUUUUUGUAUAAAAUUUAUACUUAUGACAGGGAUUAGAUACCCCAUUAAUGUAUUUUGUAAUAUUGUCUUAGUUUGGUAACUAAAAUGGUUUGGCAGUGAGUGAUUCUUUUUAGGGGAAGGUGUGGUGUAAAGGAUGUUCCGCCUAUUAAUUUGCUUUUGUUAUGUUGGUGUAUAUCUGGUUUAAUAUUAUUGUUGAAUGAUAUAGUUUGUGUAGAAUUAGUUAAGCCAAGUCUAUGUGCUGCUUAUGAAAGUAUUCAUGCGUUACUUUGAUAAAGUUUUAGUUGUAAUGCUAUUAUAUUUAGGACUUAAAAGUAAUGUUAAAUUAGUUUGUUAAUGUGAAGUAAGUUUAACUCAUGUACACACCGCCCGUCACCCUCGAUUUGUAUAUUGAGGUAAGUCGUAACAAGGUAACUUUAAAUGAAUUUGAAGUUGGUUACUGGGAUAAGUUUCUCAGUUUUA